UACGUAGGGUGCAAGCGUUAUCCGGAAUUAUUGGGCGUAAAGAGCUCGUAGGCGGUUUGUCACGUCUGCUGUGAAAACUGGAGGCUCAACCUCCAGCCUGCAGUGGGUACGGGCAGACUAGAGUGCGGUAGGGGAGAUUGGAAUCCUGGUGUAGCGGUGGAAUGCGCAGAUAUCAGGAGGAACACCGAUGGCGAAGGCAGAUCUCUGG
rnacentral:rRNA from 1 species